rnacentral:rRNA from 1 species
AUGAGCUCCGCGCAGGACCCCAUCUACAUCGUCCGGGAGGAGAUCCAGGGCUGGAUCGGUAAGCUGCAGACUACGUUCUAUCACUGGGAGCAAGUUUCUUCAAACAACAGAGAAUAUGUUCAUCUGACAAUAUCAUCGCUGGGAGCAAGUUUCUUCAAACCUGAUUACUUUGUCAUCAGGCUGGCUGAUUGCAUCCAACUCAAAGAGUUCCACAUUUCUAACUUGAGGGUUCCACUUGCACAUGAUGGCCCCACAACUCCUUAUGGCAAGCAGUUUCCUGCAGCUGACAACAAGGUAAGCAAACAUCCUGUUCAGUUCCUGGAGCGUAUAAAUGUGCUACUUUUCAUCUCUCAAAUGAGCCACGCACUUGGCAGUUGCUUUGUUCAUCCAAAAAUGUGA